AUGAAAACCACUACCACUAUGGCAUUCCCGUCACCGCUAGCCCUCCUGGCCGUCUCGUGCAUGCUGCUGCUCCUGCUUGUGCGCAGCAUGACGCGAGCCACAAAACAUCUCGCGCACCGCCACCGCCUGCCACCCUCCCCGCGGGGUCUCCCGAUCGUCGGCAACCUCCACCAGCUCGGCGGGCUCCCGCACCGCGCCCUGCACGCGCUCGCCGCGGCGCACGGGCCCGUCAUGCUGCUCCGCCUCGGCCGCGUGCCCACCCUGGUCGUCUCGUCUGCGGACGCGGCGCGCGAGGUGCUACAGCUGCAGGACCACGCCUUCGCGAACCGGCCCUCGCUCACCAUCCCGCGGCGGCUCCUCUACGGCUGCACGGAUAUCGCCUUCGCUCCCCACGGCGCCUACUGGCGCGGCGUGCGCAAGAUCGCCGUGCUCCACCUGCUGAGCCCCGCCAGGGUGCGCGCCUACCGUGGCGAGCGCGAGGAGGAGGUCGCCGAGCUUGUCCGGAAGGUGGAGCGGCAGGCACAUGAAGGCGGCGGCGUGGUGCGGCUGAGCGAGCUCCUGAGCGGCUUCGCCAAGGACGUGAACGGGCGGAUCGUGCUCGGGGUGCGCGCCUCGGGCGGGGCCGGGUGGCGGGCCAAGGUGGACGCGCUGCUCGAGGAGGCCAACGCGCUGCUCAGGGAGUUCCACGUCGGCGACUACUUCCUGUGGCUGGCAUGGGUGGCCGCCGUGGACGGGACGGACGCCAAGGUGAGCAGGGCGUUUGAGAGGAUUGAUCGCAUUCUCGAGAUCAUCGUGGCCGCGAGCGCUGGCACGGGGUGCCGCCACGACGAGGCGUUCGUGCAUGUGCUGCUAUCACUGCAGAGUGAUUCGAGCGGGGCUGGGUGGCGCUUGACCAGGGACAACGUCAAGGCUCUACUUGAGGACCUGUUCGGAGCAGGGACAGACUCGACCAUAAUCGUUUUGGAAUGGGUCAUGGCCGAACUACUCCGCAACAAGGAAGCGAUGCAAAAGCUACAACAAGAGAUCAGACGCCACUGCACGAAGAGUCACUCACACGUCAUCACCGAGCAGGACCUCCAAGCAUUGAAGUACCUUAGGGCCGUCAUCAAGGAGACGAUGCGGCUGCAUCCGCCAGGGCCUCUCCUUGUCCCUCGCGAGUCUAUGCAGCACGCAAAGGUCCACUUCUACGACGUCCCACGUGGGACAAGAAUCAUUGUGAACGCAUGGGCUGUUGGCAGGGACCCGGCGGUAUGGGAUAACGCUGACGAGUUUCGUCCAGAGCGGUUCCUUGAUAGCGAGGUGGACUUCCGUGGGCAGCAUCCUCAACUCAUACCGUUUGGCGCCGGGAGGAGGAUGUGCCCUGGGAUCGGGUUCACGACAUCCGUCGUCGAGCUGGCACUAGUGAACCUGUUGGGACAAUUCAAUUGGACGGUUCCUAUGUUGAAGAAUAAGGCGCCGGGGAUGGUGAACAUGGAGGAGGCCUCUGGGAUCACAUCACGAAAGAGGGUGCCGCUGUGCGCCGUAGUGACACGGCCGACAUAG
rnacentral:rRNA from 1 species